ACAAAUGGUAUAAAUAAACCCCCCACACCUGACCACAAAAACCCUAGCCGCCAGCCCUCGCCGAAGAAGACGAACCAGAUGCCAGAGGAGCCGGCCGCCGCCACCCGCCGCUGCACCGGGGAGUUUUCUGACCGCCGAUCGAGGUAAAUUUCAUACCUCCAGCUCGUUUUUCAAUGCUGAGUUCCCCUGUGGCCAAAUCGGAGCCAAACUCUCGGCCAAACGGCCGG
rnacentral:lncRNA from 1 species